CUUAGCUAACGCUAAGUACUAUAUGCUGAAUACAUAGGCAUAUAGAGGUACACCUGGGGAACUGAAACAUCUAAGUACCCAGAGGAAGAGAAAGAAAAUUCGAUUCCCUAAGUAGCGGCGAGCGAAAGGGGAAGAGCCCAAACCAGAAACUUCGUUUCUGGGGUUGUGGAUAGAUCAUAACGCUUUGAUUUUCUUAGCCGAAUAGAACUGGAAAGUUCAGUCGUAGAAGGUAAUAACCCUGUAGGCGAAAAGAAAAGAUAAGUAGAUCUACUCCAGAGUACCACGAGACACGUGAAACCUUGUGGGAAGCAGGGAGGACCAUCUCCCAAGGCUAAAUACUACCUAGUGACCGAUAGCGAAGCAGUACCGUGAGGGAAAGGUGAAAAGAACCCCGGGAGGGGAGUGAAAUAGAACCUGAAACCGUGUGCCUACAAUCGGUGGGAGCACUUUUAUGUGUGACCGCGUACUUUUUGUAGAACGGGCCAGCGAGUUACGAUAUGCAGCAAGGUUAAGCAC
rnacentral:ncRNA from 1 species